rnacentral:lncRNA from 1 species
UUUAAGUGGGAGCUAAGCUAUGGGUAUGCGAAGGCAUACAGAACGGUAUAAUGGACACUGGAGAGUCAAAAGCAGCCGACUUGGAGGGGAUGAGGAAUAAUAUUGGGUAUGAUGCACACUGUUCAGAUCAGGAAAUCCUGAGAGUUGUCAUGAAACCCUCUGCCACAUUUCCAAUAUUUUAUUAGUAGGGAAAUAGUGAAAAUGAAUGGAUCUGACAGACACAAGCAAUUGAGAGUAUGGCCUAAAGAAAAAAAAUCCACUGAACAUCAUGCAAUUAGAAGUGCCAUUAGGAAAGGGGUCAAUGGAUUGGCUGGAGAAAGCUGGAAGCUUGAAAUGACUGUCUACAAGGUGAUCAAGAACACAGCACCUGGAUGAAGGGAGGAGCAAGAGGAAAGGUGGUGACAGUAAGCAAGGAGAGCAAACCUUCAGAGGGCUAAGGGGAAGCCCUUCACCCCUACAGUUUUGGCACUGUGAACAGGAUCUCAUCAAAGCUGCUCUGCUUUUCAGGGAGCCACAGUGAAAGAAACCCAGGACCUGACAAGCCAAC